GGCUCAGACUUGACUACAUCCC
rnacentral:siRNA from 1 species